rnacentral:rRNA from 1 species
UCCGGUUGAUCCUGCCAGAGGCCGCUGCUAUCCGGCUGGGACUAAGCCAUGCUAGUCUAGGGGCUUGUACCCCUUCGGGGGUGCAAGCACCGGCGGACGGCUCAGUAACACGUGGACAACCUGCCCUCGGGUGGGGGAUAACCCCGGGAAACUGGGGCUAAUCCCCCAUAGGUGAUGGGUGCUGGAAUGCCCCAUCUCCGAAAGCGCUCAGCGCCCGAGGAUGGGUCUGCGGCGGAUUAGGUAGUUGGUGGGGUAGCGGCCCACCAAGCCUAAGAUCCGUACGGGCUGUGGGAGCAGGAGCCCGGAGAUGGACCCUGAGACAAGGGUCCAGGCCCUACGGGGCGCAGCAGGCGCGAAACCUCCGCAAUGCGGGAAACCGCGACGGGGUUAGCCGGAGUGCCCGUGCAUUGCACGGGCUGUCGGGGUGCCUAAACAGCACCCCAUAGCAAGGGCCGGGCAAGGCCGGUGGCAGCCGCCGCGGUAAGACCGGCGGCCCGAGUGGCGGCCACUCUUAUUGGGCCUAAAGCGUCCGUAGCCGGCCCAGUAAGUCCCCCGGGAAAUCUGGUCGCUUAACGAUCAGACUUCCGGGGGAUACUGCUGGGCUAGGGACCGGGAGAGGCCGAGGGUAUUCCCGGGGUAGGGGUGAAAUCCUGUAAUCCCGGGAGGACCACCUGUGGCGAA